GGGACGCACGUGCUAUCGCCUCUCAUUACGUUCGUUCCUUCAAAGGCUUCUGGUUUGAUGCCUUUGUCAUCCUCCCUGUUCCUCAGAUUGUUUAUUGGUUUGUUUUACCAAAACUGAUCAGAGAAGAGAGAAUAAAACUUAUAAUGACAGUUGUCUUAUUAAUGUUCUUGUUCCAAUUCCUCCCAAAAGUUUACCACUCCAUUAUUUUAAUGAGAAGAAUGCAGAAGGUCACUGGAUACAUCUUCGGCACCAUUUGGUGGGGUUUUGGC
rnacentral:misc_RNA from 1 species